rnacentral:rRNA from 1 species
GAACGCUGGCGGCGUGCCUAAUACAUGCAAGUCGAGCGAACAGACGAGGAGCUUGCUCCUCUGACGUUAGCGGCGGACGGGUGAGUAACACGUGGAUAACCUACCUAUAAGACUGGGAUAACUUCGUGAAACCGGAGCUAAUACCGGAUAAUAUAUUGAACCGCAUGGUUCAAUAGUGAAAGACGGUUUUGCUGUCACUUAUAGAUGGAUCCGCGCCGCAUUAGCUAGUUGGUAAGGUAACGGCUUACCAAGGCAACGAUGCGUAGCCGACCUGAGAGGGUGAUCGGCCACACUGGAACUGAGACACGGUCCAGACUCCUACGGGAGGCAGCAGUAGGGAAUCUUCCGCAAUGGGCGAAAGCCUGACGGAGCAACGCCGCGUGAGUGAUGAAGGUCUUCGGAUCGUAAAACUCUGUUAUUAGGGAAGAACAAAUGUGUAAGUAACUAUGCACGUCUUGACGGUACCUAAUCAGAAAGCCACGGCUAACUACGUG